rnacentral:rRNA from 1 species
UACGGAGGGUGCAAGCGUUAUCCGGAUUCACUGGGUUUAAAGGGUGCGUAGGUGGGUUGGUAAGUCAGUGGUGAAAUCCCCGAGCUUAACUUGGGAACUGCCAUUGAUACUAUCAAUCUUGAAUACUGUGGAGGUCAGCGGAAUAUGUCAUGUAGCGGUGAAAUGCUUAGAUAUGACAUAGAACACCAAUUGCGAAGGCAGCUGGCUACACAAAUAUUGACACUGAGGCACGAAAGCGUGGGGAUCAAACAGG